UCUAAGCACAUGCCUUAAAACGGUGAAGCCGCGAAUAGCUCAUUACAACAGCCAUCGUUUAUUAGAAUAUCGUUAACUUGGAUAACUGUGGCAAUUCUAGAGCUAAUACAUGCAAUAAAGCUCUGCCCGCAAGGAACGAGCGCAUUUAUUAGAAUAAAAACCAAUCGGGUUUCGGCCCGUAAUUUGGUGAAUCUGAAUAACUUUGCCAAUCGCACAGUCCUAGUACUGGCGAUGUAUCUUUCAAGUGUCUGCCUUAUCAACUUUCGAUGGUACGCUAUACGCCUACCAUGGUAGUAACGGGUAACGGAGAAUAAGGGUUCGACUCCGGAGAGGGAGCCUGAGAAACGGCUACCACAUCCAAGGAAGGCAGCAGGCGCGCAAAUUACCCACUUCCAGAACGGAGAGGUAGUGACGAAAAAUAACGAGACAGUCCUCUUCGAGGUCUGUCAUCGGAAUGGGUACAAUUUAAAUCCU
rnacentral:rRNA from 1 species